GCUGGCUUAGCACAGUGGUAGUGCGCCUGACUACGAAUCAGGAGGUCGAGGGUUCGAACCCCUUAGUCGGUU
rnacentral:tRNA from 1 species